rnacentral:rRNA from 1 species
UACGUAGGGUGCGAGCGUUGUCCGGAAUUAUUGGGCGUAAAGAGCUCGUAGGUGGUUUGUCGCGUUGUUCGUGAAAACCGGGGGCUUAACCCUCGGCGUGCGGGCGAUACGGGCAGACGUUGAGUACUGCAGGGGAGACUGGAAUUCCUGGUGUAGCGGUGGAAUGCGCAGAUAUCAGGAGGAACACCGGUGGCGAAGGCGGGUCUCUGGGCAGUAACUGACGCUGGAGGAGCGAAAGCGUGGGGAGCGAACAGG